rnacentral:lncRNA from 1 species
UUUUUUUUUUUAAGAUUUUACUUAUUCAUGAGAGAUACAGAGAGAGAGAGGCAGAGACAUAGGCAGAGGGAGAAGCAGGCUCCAUGCAGGGAGCCCAAUGUGGGACUUGAUCCCAGGACUCCAGGAUCAUGUCCUGAGCUGAAGGCAGACACUUAACCACUGAGCCACCCAGACAUCCCCAGAAUAAAUUCUUUAAACCACUGUUUUAUAUGUUCUAAACAUUUUCUGGAUCAAGAAAAUCACGUUUUCAAUUACAAACAUUAAAAUUUCUUAGUGUCAACAAUGUGUUGUGCACAUACUCUAGUCUCCUCUUCUCACCCUAAAUCCCCUAAAUGCUGGGGGAGAAAAUACACACACACACACACACACACACACACACAUUUAAAGUCAGGAAGAGAAGUCUUUACGGGAACUGACCCCAAGAGAAGUCUCUGAGAAUCACAAAUAGAUUGGACUAUGAUGGAGUACUAGCUUCUAAAAGAUGUCCACCUCCUAAUCCCAGAACUUGUGAAUAUGCUAUUACAUGGAAAAGGAAUUCAAGGUGAAAAUGGAAUAAAAUUUCCCAAUCCACUGACCUUAAAUAAGAGGGUUGUCCUGGAUUAUUCAAAUGGAAUCAAUGUAAUCACAAGGGUCCUUAAAAACAAAAAAAGGGAGACAGAAGAGGAGGUCAGAGUGCUGUGAUGUGAGAACUUGAGUUGUCAUGAGGAAGAGAUCAUCUGCCAAGAAAGGCAGGUAGCAUUUAGAAACUCAAAAAGGCAAGUAAAUAGAUUCUCCCCUUGAGCCUACAGAAGGAAUGCAGCUUUGCCAACAUCUUUAUAUAAGCCCAACAAGGCCUAUGUUGGAAUACUAAUUUACAGAAUUGUAAGAUACCAGAUGUGUUUUUUAAGCCACUAAAUUUGUGGUAAUUUGCUACAACAGCAAUAUAAAAUUAAUACAGACUAGUUUGUUCCAUCUUUCUGAUGAAUAGGCUGUGAAAAGAGAUCAACAAGCAGUUUGACAUGGAGCUUCAACCACAAUUUGGGUUGUACAAUCAAAAAGUAUGACACUUACAAAACAAGCACCAGAAUAGAAAGGAACCAAACUCAAGAUAGAAGUUAACACCCAAGGAAACAGAGGUAAAAGGAUAGAAUAGCCAUUGGUAAUAGAUAGAUAUCCUUAGAGAGAGAUAAGAAUCUUAAAAGAGAAUGGAGCAGGAAUCAUGGAAAUUAAAAACCUAAUAACUAAGAUGGAAAACACUUUGUGUGAGUUGAAUUGCAGAGUGGCAAUGCUGAUGAUGUGAGAAUUAGUGAGAUAGACGACCAAAGCACAGCACAUGAGCCCAAAGUGAUGAAAUACAUAAAAGAAAUCCUAAAAGAUAUGGAAGACAGAUCCACUGUCUGAAUUACCAGAGGAUAGACUAUCCUCUGAAAAAUAAACUGACUCCCUAACAAAAAAAAGCAAUAAAGAGAAUGCAAGAAGCAAUACUUUGCAAAAAAAGGUAGGAAAAUUCAGUGCUAAAUUCCAAUAAAUAUUGAUGACAAAAAUUUUAAUAACAACGUGGAAUUAAAAUUGCCAACAAUCACAAGGGAAAUUAGUAGACAGUGGGGGAGAUGGACAGAGUGAACAAAAAGCAUGCUAUGAUCCUUGCCUGACUGGGGAGAAUCUACAGAUAGAUACCAACUAAUUGAAGAUAUUAGAAAAAUGCAACUUUAAGUACGUAUAUUAUAAAAUUAAGAAUAGUUACUUGAAAAUACAAAUAAAAGAGAUAAAUUCCAAUCAUUUGGUGGUGGGGAAAAGCUCAGAAUGAAGAAAUCCAUCUAGCUCUUUACUGAAGGGAUAACAUGUAAUGAUUGAUUAGGAUUUUUUAUAUUGUAAGAAUGGCUUGUUAUUAUUAGCAAAUCUAUGAUGAUAAUACAUCAAUAGAUAAACUAAGAAAAACAGAUGAGCAUCUCCACAGAUGCUAAAAAUUCACUCGCUAGAUUCCAGCAUUCACCUUUGACUAAAAAUACGACUUUAAAUAAAGUAGAUAUUGAAAAGAUACUUUGAAAGCUUCAUAUAAAAUAUAUAAAGUGUCUAACUUAAAUAUCACACUCCCAAGGCAUUUCUGUUAAAUUCAAUGUCAAGAAUGUCCACUAUUAUUUAACAUUGUUCUAGAAGUUCUAGCCAUUAUAAUUAAGAUGUAGGAGGGGAAUGAGAGACAGAAAUAUUGGAAUGCAGAAAAUAAAAUUAUCACUAUUUUUAGAUUAUAUGAUUGUUAGUGUGGGAGAUCCAAGAGAAGUAAGGGAAAAACUGUUAGGACCAGUAAAAGAGUACAAUAAAGUGGUCAGCACAAAAUUUUUGAAAAAGAAAUCUAAUCAUCGAAAAUUACUGGGUUGUCAAGCAAAUUAUAAUUAUCUCCAUAUAAGUAAAUAUUACAGUGUGGCCUUUAAAAAUAGUGAAAACCUAAUUCCAUGGGAAACUGUACACUAUGUGUAAGUGACAAAAAGUUUAUUUUUUGAAUGUACAGCAAUAAAUAUGUAUAGAUAUACGUGGGAAAAUUAAGAUACAUAUCAAGAUACUAAGUAAUUAUCUCUACCUGGUAAGAUUAUAAGGGAGUUUUAUUUUCCUCUUAGCUGUUAUCUGUAUUCUUCAAAUUUCUAGAUUCAAAAUUAAGAAGAUCACAUUAUUGGGGUGCCUGGGUGCUCAAUCACUUAAACAUCUGACUCUUGAUUUCAGCUCAGGUCCUGAUUUCAGAGUCAUGAGACAGAGCCCUCCCAUUGGGCUCUACACUAGAUGUGAAGCCUGCUUAAGAUUCUCUCUUUUUCCCUCUGCCCCUCCCCCUACUCGUGCUUGCUGUCUAUAAAAAAGCAAUUAAUUAAUUAAAAAAUAACAAUAAAUAUUUAAACGAAGAGCACAUUAUGAGCUUAAAAAAUAAAAAUCAAUAGUUAAUAAUAUGAAUUAUGUCCAAUAUCACAUAAAAUAAAAAUGCUCCCUAUGUUUACUGCAGCAUUAUUUACAAAAGUCAAGAUUAUAGAAGCAACUCAAGUGUCUAUCCAUAGGUGAAUGGAGAAAGAAGAUGUGGUAUAGCUAUACAAUAGAAUGUUACUCAACCAUAAUUAUUACUUGCCAUUUGCAACAACAGGCACAGACCUAUAAUGCUAAGUGAAGUUAAGUCAGAGAACGACAAAUACCAUAUGAUUUCACUUAUAUGUGGAAUUCAAAAAGCAAAAUAAAUCAAUAAACAAAAAAAAGUAGAAAACAGACCCAUAAAUACAGAGAACAACCUGGAGGUUGCCGAAGGGAGAAGGGUUGAGAAGAUGGGCAAAAUGGGUAAAGGGGAGUGGGAGGUACAGGCUUCCAGUUAUGGAAUGAAUAGGUCAAGGUGAUAAAAGGUAUAUCAAAGGGAAUAUAGUCAAUGUUAUUGUAAUAGUGUCAUAUGGUGACAGAUGGUAACAACACUUGUGGUGAGCACAGCAUAACAUUUAGACUUGUUGAAUCAUUAUGUUGUGAACUGAUACUAACGUAUUAAAACUAAUGUAACAUUGCAUGUCAACCAUACUUGAAUUUUUAAAAAUGCAUAUUAAAAUAAAACAGGACAUAGCAUCUAGAUAAAUCAUGUUUUUGGAUUGGAUCUCAGUUUAGACAGACCCAGCAAAGAAGUUACUUGAAUAAUAAGGGGAGAAGGAAUUUUAAGAUGGACCCACCAGGGGGCUCUGGGUAGCUCAGUAGUUGACUGUCUGCCUUUGGCUCAGGUGGUGAUCCCAGAUCCUGGGAUCAAGUCCUGUAUCAGUCUCCCUCUGCCUAUGUCUCUGCC